GAACGCUGGCGGCGUGCUUAACACAUGCAAGUCGAACGGAAAGGCCCUGCUUUUGUGGGGUGCUCGAGUGGCGAACGGGUGAGUAACACGUGAGUAACCUGCCCUUGACUUUGGGAUAACUUCAGGAAACUGGGGCUAAUACCGGAUAGGAGCUCCUGCUGCAUGGUGGGGGUUGGAAAGUUUCGGCGGUUGGGGAUGGACUCGCGGCUUAUCAGCUUGUUGGUGGGGUAGUGGCUUACCAAGGCUUUGACGGGUAGCCGGCCUGAGAGGGUGACCGGCCACAUUGGGACUGAGAUACGGCCCAGACUCCUACGGGAGGCAGCAGUGGGGAAUAUUGCACAAUGGGCGGAAGCCUGAUGCAGCAACGCCGCGUGCGGGAUGACGGCCUUCGGGUUGUAAACCGCUUUCGCCUGUGACGAAGCGUGAGUGACGGUAAUGGGUAAAGAAGCACCGGCUAACUACGUGCCAGCAGCCGCGGUGAUACGUAGGGUGCGAGCGUUGUCCGGAUUUAUUGGGCGUAAAGGGCUCGUAGGUGGUUGAUCGCGUCGGAAGUGUAAUCUUGGGGCUUAACCCUGAGCGUGCUUUCGAUACGGGUUGACUUGAGGAAGGUAGGGGAGAAUGGAAUUCCUGGUGGAGCGGUGGAAUGCGCAGAUAUCAGGAGGAACACCAGUGGCGAAGGCGGUUCUCUGGGCCUUUCCUGACGCUGAGGAGCGAAAGCGUGGGGAGCGAACAGGCUUAGAUACCCUGGUAGCCCACGCUGUAAACGGUGGGUACUAGGUGUGGGGUCCAUUCCACGGGUUCCGUGCCGUAGCUAACGCUUUAAGUACCCCGCCUGGGGAGUACGGCCGCAAGGCUAAAACUCAAAGGAAUUGACGGGGCCCCGCACAAGCGGCGGAGCAUGCGGAUUAAUUCGAUGCAACGCGUAGAACCUUACCUGGGUUUGACAUGGAUCGGGAGUGCUCAGAGAUGGGUGUGCCUCUUUUGGGGUCGGUUCACAGGUGGUGCAUGCCUGUCGUCAGCUCGUGUCGUGAGAUGUUGGGUUAAGUCCCGCAACGAGCGCAACCCUUGUUCACUGUUGCCAGCACGUUAUGGUGGGGACUCAGUGGAGACCGCCGGGGUCAACUCGGGGGAAGGUGGGGAUGACGUCAAGUCCUCAUGCCCCUUAUGUCCAGGGCUUCACGCAUGCUACAAUGGCUGGUACAGAGAGUGGCGAGCCUGUGAGGGUGAGCGAAUCUCGGAAAGCCGGUCUCAGUUCGGAUUGGGGUCUGCAACUCGACCUCAUGAAGUCGGAGUCGCUAGUAAUCGCAGAUCAGCAACGCUGCGGUGAAUACGUUCCCGGGGCUUGUACACACCGCCCGUCAAGUCAUGAAAGUUGGUAACACCCGAAGCCGGUGGCCUAACCGUUGUGGGGGAGCCGUCGAAGGUGGGACUGGUGAUUAGGACUA
rnacentral:rRNA from 1 species